rnacentral:SRP_RNA from 1 species
GCUGGGCGUGGUGGCGCAUGCCUGUAAUCCCAGCUACUCAAGAGGCUGAGGCAGGAGAAUUGCUUGAACCCAGGAGGUGGAGGUUGCAGUGAGCUGAGAUUGUGCCACUGCACUCCAGCCUGGGUGACAGAGUGAGACUCCGUCUCAA